UACGGAGGGGGCUAGCGUUGUUCGGAAUUACUGGGCGUAAAGCGCGCGUAGGCGGCUUUGUAAGUUAGAGGUGAAAGCCCAGGGCUCAGCCCUGGAAUUGCCUUUAAGACUGCAUCGCUUGAACAUCGGAGAGGUAAGUGGAAUUCCGAGUGUAGAGGUGAAAUUCGUAGAUAUUCGGAAGAACACCAGUGGCGAAGGCGACUUACUGGACGAUUGUUGACGCUGAGGUGCGAAAGCGUGGGGAGCAAACAGG
rnacentral:rRNA from 1 species